rnacentral:rRNA from 1 species
GAUGAACGCUGGCGGCGUGCCUAAUACAUGCAAGUCGAACGGAGAUAUUGUAGCAAUACGGUAUCUUAGUGGCGAACGGGUGAGUAACGCGUUGGUGACCUGCCCCGAAGAGGGGGAUAACAGUCCGAAAGGAUUGCUAAUACCCCAUGUGGUCCUGGAUUUUAGAACUCCAUGACUAAAGGUGUAAAUCACUUCGGGAGGGGCCUGCGUCCCAUCAGCUAGUUGGUAAGGUAAUGGCUUACCAAGGCGACGACGGGUAGGGGACCUGAGAGGGUGGCCCCCCACAAUGGAACUGAAACACGGUCCAUACACCUACGGGUGGCAG